rnacentral:rRNA from 1 species
GGGUUGUGAGGUUAAGCGACUAAGCGUACACGGUGGAUGCCCUGGCAGUCAGAGGCGAUGAAGGACGUGCUAAUCUGCGAUAAGCGUCGGUAAGGUGAUAUGAACCGUUAUAACCGGCGAUUUCCGAAUGGGGAAACCCAGUGUGUUUCGACACACUAUCAUUAACUGAAUCCAUAGGUUAAUGAGGCGAACCGGGGGAACUGAAACAUCUAAGUACCCCGAGGAAAAGAAAUCAACCGAGAUUCCCCCAGUAGCGGCGAGCGAACGGGGAGCAGCCCAGAGCCUGAAUCAGUGUGUGUGUUAGUGGAAGCGUCUGGAAAGGCGCGCGAUACAGGGUGACAGCCCCGUACACAAAAAUGCACAUGCUGUGAGCUCGAUGAGUAGGGCGGGACACGUGGUAUCCUGUCUGAAUAUGGGGGGACCAUCCUCCAAGGCUAAAUACUCCUGACUGACCGAUAGUGAACCAGUACCGUGAGGGAAAGGCGAAAAGAACCCCGGCGAGGGGAGUGAAAAAGAACCUGAAACCGUGUACGUACAAGCAGUGGGAGCACGCUUAGGCGUGUGACUGCGUACCUUUUGUAUAAUGGGUCAGCGACUUAUAUUCUGUAGCAAGGUUAACCGAAUAGGGGAGCCGAAGGGAAACCGAGUCUUAACUGGGCGUUAAGUUGCAGGGUAUAGACCCGAAACCCGGUGAUCUAGCCAUGGGCAGGUUGAAGGUUGGGUAACACUAACUGGAGGACCGAACCGACUAAUGUUGAAAAAUUAGCGGAUGACUUGUGGCUGGGGGUGAAAGGCCAAUCAAACCGGGAGAUAGCUGGUUCUCCCCGAAAGCUAUUUAGGUAGCGCCUCGUGAAUUCAUCUCCGGGGGUAGAGCACUGUUUCGGCAAGGGGGUCAUCCCGACUUACCAACCCGAUGCAAACUGCGAAUACCGGAGAAUGUUAUCACGGGAGACACACGGCGGGUGCUAACGUCCGUCGUGAAGAGGGAAACAACCCAGACCGCCAGCUAAGGUCCCAAAGUCAUGGUUAAGUGGGAAACGAUGUGGGAAGGCCCAGACAGCCAGGAUGUUGGCUUAGAAGCAGCCAUCAUUUAAAGAAAGCGUAAUAGCUCACUGGUCGAGUCGGCCUGCGCGGAAGAUGUAACGGGGCUAAACCAUGCACCGAAGCUGCGGCAGCGACGCUGAUGCGUUGUUGGGUAGGGGAGCGUUCUGUAAGCCUGCGAAGGUGUGCUGUGAGGCAUGCUGGAGGUAUCAGAAGUGCGAAUGCUGACAUAAGUAACGAUAAAGCGGGUGAAAAGCCCGCUCGCCGGAAGACCAAGGGUUCCUGUCCAACGUUAAUCGGGGCAGGGUGAGUCGACCCCUAAGGCGAGGCCGAAAGGCGUAGUCGAUGGGAAACAGGUUAAUAUUCCUGUACUUGGUGUUACUGCGAAGGGGGGACGGAGAAGGCUAUGUUGGCCGGGCGACGGUUGUCCCGGUUUAAGCGUGUAGGCUGGUUUUCCAGGCAAAUCCGGAAAAUCAAGGCUGAGGCGUGAUGACGAGGCACUACGGUGCUGAAGCAACAAAUGCCCUGCUUCCAGGAAAAGCCUCUAAGCAUCAGGUAACAUCAAAUCGUACCCCAAACCGACACAGGUGGUCAGGUAGAGAAUACCAAGGCGCUUGAGAGAACUCGGGUGAAGGAACUAGGCAAAAUGGUGCCGUAACUUCGGGAGAAGGCACGCUGAUAUGUAGGUGAAGUCCCUUGCGGAUGGAGCUGAAAUCAGUCGAAGAUACCAGCUGGCUGCAACUGUUUAUUAAAAACACAGCACUGUGCAAACACGAAAGUGGACGUAUACGGUGUGACGCCUGCCCGGUGCCGGAAGGUUAAUUGAUGGGGUCAGCGCAAGCGAAGCUCUUGAUCGAAGCCCCGGUAAACGGCGGCCGUAACUAUAACGGUCCUAAGGUAGCGAAAUUCCUUGUCGGGUAAGUUCCGACCUGCACGAAUGGCGUAAUGAUGGCCAGGCUGUCUCCACCCGAGACUCAGUGAAAUUGAACUCGCUGUGAAGAUGCAGUGUACCCGCGGCAAGACGGAAAGACCCCGUGAACCUUUACUAUAGCUUGACACUGAACAUUGAGCCUUGAUGUGUAGGAUAGGUGGGAGGCUUUGAAGUGUGGACGCCAGUCUGCAUGGAGCCGACCUUGAAAUACCACCCUUUAAUGUUUGAUGUUCUAACGUUGACCCGUAAUCCGGGUUGCGGACAGUGUCUGGUGGGUAGUUUGACUGGGGCGGUCUCCUCCUAAAGAGUAACGGAGGAGCACGAAGGUUGGCUAAUCCUGGUCGGACAUCAGGAGGUUAGUGCAAUGGCAUAAGCCAGCUUGACUGCGAGCGUGACGGCGCGAGCAGGUGCGAAAGCAGGUCAUAGUGAUCCGGUGGUUCUGAAUGGAAGGGCCAUCGCUCAACGGAUAAAAGGUACUCCGGGGAUAACAGGCUGAUACCGCCCAAGAGUUCAUAUCGACGGCGGUGUUUGGCACCUCGAUGUCGGCUCAUCACAUCCUGGGGCUGAAGUAGGUCCCAAGGGUAUGGCUGUUCGCCAUUUAAAGUGGUACGCGAGCUGGGUUUAGAACGUCGUGAGACAGUUCGGUCCCUAUCUGCCGUGGGCGCUGGAGAACUGAGGGGGGCUGCUCCUAGUACGAGAGGACCGGAGUGGACGCAUCACUGGUGUUCGGGUUGUCAUGCCAAUGGCACUGCCCGGUAGCUAAAUGCGGAAGAGAUAAGUGCUGAAAGCAUCUAAGCACGAAACUUGCCCCGAGAUGAGUUCUCCCUGACUCCUUGAGAGUCCUGAAGGAACGUUGAAGACGACGACGUUGAUAGGCCGGGUGUGUAAGCGCAGCGAUGCGUUGAGCUAACCGGUACUAAUGAACCGUGAGGCUUAACCUUACAACGCCGAAGCUGUU